GACGAACGCUGGCGGCGUGCCUAAUACAUGCAAGUCGAGCGAAUCAAUAGGAGCUUGCUCCUGCUGGUUAGCGGCGGACGGGUGAGUAACACGUGGGCAACCUGCCUGUAAGACUGGGAUAACACCGGGAAACCGGUGCUAAUACCGGAUAAUCCUUUUUCUCUCAUGAGGGAAAGCUGAAAGUCGGUUUCGGCUGACACUUACAGAUGGGCCCGCGGCGCAUUAGCUAGUUGGUGAGGUAACGGCUCACCAAGGCGACGAUGCGUAGCCGACCUGAGAGGGUGAUCGGCCACACUGGGACUGAGACACGGCCCAGACUCCUACGGGAGGCAGCAGUAGGGAAUCUUCCACAAUGGACGAAAGUCUGAUGGAGCAACGCCGCGUGAGCGAUGAAGGCCUUCGGGUCGUAAAGCUCUGUUGUUAGGGAAGAACAAGUACCGGAGUAACUGCCGGUACCUUGACGGUACCUAACCGGAAAGCCACGGCUAACUACGUGCCAGCCGCCGCAGUAAAAC
rnacentral:rRNA from 1 species